rnacentral:lncRNA from 10 species
CUUUCCCAUGCUGUUCUCGUGAUAGUGAAUAAGUUUUUUGAGAUGUGUUAGUUUUUUUUUUUUUUUUUUUUUUUUUUUUUUGAGACAUUGUCUCGCUGUUGCCCAGGCUGGAGUGCAGUGGCGCGAUCUCGGCUCACUGCAGGCUCCGCCCCCCGGGGUUCACGCCAUUCUCCUGCCUCAGCUUCCCGAGUAGCUGGGACUACAGGCGCCCACCACCUCGCCCGGCUAGUUUUUUGUAUUUUUAGUAGAGACGGGGUUUCACCGUGUUAGCCAGGAUGGUCUCGAUCUCCUGACCUCGUGAUCCGCCCGCCUCGGCCUGAUGUGUUGGUUUUAUAAGGGGGAGUUUCUCUGCACAAGCUGUCUCUCUUUGCCUGCCGCCAUCCGCGUAGUAAACGUGACUUGAUCCUCCUUGCCUUCCGCCAUGAUUUUAAGGCCUCCCCAGCCACAUGGAACAGUCAGAAGACUUUCACUGGAGAUAUCCCUCCCUAUGCCUGGAAGAAAGGAAUAUUCUUAUCUCUGAAGACAUUGGGAAACACAAUAAUAGCUGAAAAACAGGCCUUGCUAACUUCUCUCCAGUUUAUUAUUAGAUGAUACAUUUUUAUCCAAUCAUAUUUCUCCAUCACUACCCACUUCUCCAUCAGAACUAGCCUUAAAAUGCAUAGGUUUACAUAUUUUUUAGUCUUCAUUUCCACAGUUCCCUUGUCACACUAAAACUAUAUUAAGUAAAUUUAUAUGUUUUUCUCUUGUCCAUUUGUCUUUUGUUAUAGGGGCUCAAC